AUCUGAUACAAAAUUCAUAAAGAAAUCUGCCCAUUUUUUCAGCGAGGAAGUUCUAUAUAUAAUGAUCAAAACACAAACUGACAAUAAGUAGACAACAACAAACAAAAUCACUGUAUUAAUGGAAAAGAUUACCAGUUAAUUAGCAAUGAAGCGGACAAAUUUUCUCCACUAAAUGUUGGAGAUGAGAUGAUUAUCACAAAAACCUUGAAUAUUGUACUCAUCACACAGAAGAAAAUUCAUCAACUUCAUCACCAUUUGAGAAGGUAAUCUUCUUCUUUAUUAUUCUGCUCAUCAUCUCCCAGCAAGUGCUCCGUAGCAAACCG
rnacentral:misc_RNA from 1 species